UGUUUCAAAUCUUUUUAUUACCCUGUAAAGUUAACUUCCAUGCUGAUUUUGAAGGUGUAAUUCUUUUACUUCUUUCCUUAUAAUAAUGUUCUUCUUUUAAGAACCUGAUUGAUUUUAGUGUCUAGGAGAUUCUG